rnacentral:rRNA from 1 species
UGGGGAAUCUUGCACAAUGGGGGAAACCCUGAUGCAGCGACGCCGCGUGAGUGAUGAAGCCCUUCGGGGUGUAAAGCUCUUUCGGCAGGGACGAUAAUGACGGUACCUGAAGAAGAAGCUGCGGCUAACUACGUGCCAGCAGCCGCGGUAAUACGUAGGCAGCGAGCGUUGUUCGGAGUUACUGGGCGUAAAGCGUGCGUAGGCGGUGUCCUAAGUCUGGUGUGAAAUCUCCCGGCUCAACUGGGAGGGUGCGCUAGAAACUGGGGUGCUGGAGUGUGGGAGAGGUAAGCGGAAUUCCUGGUGUAGCGGUGAAAUGCGUAGAUAUCAGGAGGAACACCUGCGGUGUAGACGGCUUACUGGACCACUACUGACGCUGAGGCACGAAAGCGUGGGGAGCAAA